UACGUAGGGUGCGAGCGUUAAUCGGAAUUACUGGGCGUAAAGCGUGCGUAGGCGGUUCGUUAAGUCAGCUGUGAAAGCCCCGGGCUCAACCUGGGAACUGCAUUUGUGACUGCACGGCUAGAGUGUGUCAGAGGGGGGUAGAAUUCCACGUGUAGCAGUGAAAUGCGUAGAUAUGUGGAGGAAUACCGAUGGCGAAGGCAGCCCCCCUGGGAUAACACUGACGCUCAUGCACGAAAGCGUGGGGAGCAAACAGG
rnacentral:rRNA from 1 species